AGACUCCCUAUACUGAGAUACCAUGAUCACGAAGGUGGUUUUCCAGGGCGAGGCUCAUCCAUGGCACUGCGGGUGUGCUGACCCCGGUGACUUCCCCAAAUGCAGGAAACUGGACUGCGUAAUUUGUGGUAGUGGGGGACUGCAUUGCACUCUCCCC
ensembl:snRNA U1 U1 spliceosomal RNA